AUUGAACGCUGGCGGCAGGCUUAACACAUGCAAGUCGAGCGGGGUGAUGGUGCUUGCACUAUCACUUAGCGGCGGACGGGUGAGUAAUGCUUAGGAAUCUGCCUAUUAGUGGGGGACAACAUCUCGAAAGGGACGCUAAUACCGCAUACGUCCUACGGGAGAAAGCAGGGGAUCACUUGUGACCUUGCGCUAAUAGAUGAGCCUAAGUCGGAUUAGCUAGUUGGUGGGGUAAAGGCCUACCGAGGCGACGAUCUGUAGCGGGUCUGAGAGGAUGAUCCGCCAAACUGGGACUGGGACACGGCCCCGACUCCUACGGGAGGCAGCAGUGGGGAAUAUUGGACAAGGGGGGGAACCCUGGUCCAGCCAUGCCGCGUGUGUGAAGAAGGCCUUAUGGUUGUAAAGCACUUUAAGCGAGGAGGAGGCUCUUUUGGUUAAUACCCAAGAUGAGUGGACGUUACUCGCAGAAUAAGCACCGGCUAACUCUGUGCCAGCCGCCGCGGUAA
rnacentral:rRNA from 1 species